UGGUCCUCCGCUGCAACGGUGCUGCGACAGGCGAGCCCCAAGAGCCCCGAUCCUGGGAUGACAGAGUCCGCGCCCAACUCAGCGCCCGGGAUCCCGCACGCCCGAGGGGCCACGUGACCUUGGGCACCGCUCUUGACUCUUUGAGGCUCGAUUUCCCCUCCUAUGUACAGUGGAGCCCACCCCUCUACGAGUCUUCCGAGGCGUUGAAAAACGCCGAAAUUCCCAGUAGAAGGAGGAACAUCUCUGCCAGAUAGAGAGUCCCAGAAGACUCAGAGAGUAGAAAGGAUGCCAGGAGCCUUUGCCACCCCUGGAUCCCACGGGUGCACCAGGAACUGUGUCUCUCACAAAAUUUUGCAGCCCAUAUGCUGUUCCUCCUACUGGAGGCCCUGCUUCAGAAUUUUCAGUUUCAGUCUACACUGCCCAGACUGCUUUAGAAGAUCCUGAGGAUUCCCAGGAGAGCGUCAGCUGAUGCUGAGAAGAUGGUCUGGCCCCAUCCUUAGGGCACUGCCUUGAAAAAGCUUCGUUGUCAUCACCUGAUUCCCAAUUGUCUCGAAAUACUAUAAAGUCUGCAAGAUUUCUCAAGUGUCCACAUUAGGCAUAGAGGCUCUUGUUACUUGGUGUUGUGUGGUUUUUCUCUCCUAAUGAUUUUAUUAAAGCACAUCUGGAAAAUAUCCCAA